GAUGAACGCUGGCGGCGUGCCUAAUACAUGCAAGUCGAGCGAACAGACGAGGAGCUUGCUCCUCUGACGUUAGCGGCGGACGGGUGAGUAACACGUGGAUAACCUACCUAUAAGACUGGGAUAACUUCGGGAAACCGGAGCUAAUACCGUAUAAUAUAUUGAACCGCAUGGUUCAAUAGUGAAAGACGGUUUUGCUGUCACUUAUAGAUGGAUCCGCGCCGCAUUAGCUAGUUGGUAAGGUAACGGCUUACCAAGGCAACGAUGCGUAGCCGACCUGAGAGGGUGAUCGGCCACACUGGAACUGAGACAGGGUCCAGACUCCUACGGGAGGCAGCAGUAGGGAAUCUUACGCAAUGGGCGAAAGCCUGACGGAGCAACGCCGCGUGAGUGAUGAAGGUCUUCGGAUCGGAAAACUCUGUUAUUAGGGAAGAACAAAUGUGUAAGUAACUAUGCACGUCUUGACGGUACCUAAUCAGAAAGCCACGGCUAACUACGUG
rnacentral:rRNA from 1 species